UUGUUCAAGAUCACGAUCAUGCAUGCACUCCGUGUUAAAUGUUAGCGUUUGUACAUGUACAUGUAUGUACAUGUAAGUAGUGCACAAUGUACAUGUAGUGAUGUGCGUACAUGUACAACUACAGUACAACUUAAAGUGUCCGCUUUGCCAUGUUUGCAGUAUUCCGGUAACACUAGCAGUAGGCCCAUCCUUUUCAAGAAUUGAGUUUAAGCACGGCUGUGGCGGCAAAUGAUCAGCUGGAAGAAUGAAUCAGGUCAUUUCAAACAUGACAGAAACAGCAAAGGGGGGACAUUCGGAUGUCUCUAUCGAAGACAUUCGAUCAAGCUGGAAAGUUCCGGCUAUUGCACAUUUCUGUUCGUUGUUCCGAAGCACGUUUUCACUUCCUGAUUUUGAGAUCGAGGAAUUGGAAGAAGCCCUGUUUCUGGAUGCUGGUGUUGAGGAAAGUGAUUUUAUCACCAAUCUGGUUGUACAACUUCUUCGUGGCAUACAAGGACUGAAAAGUAUAACGUCAGAGGAUUACUUGGAAUACCUGAGGUCCGUCAUGAAAGAAAAAUGGGAGCUAGGAGAGAAGCGAGUCAACCCACUGAACAGUCAAGAUGUCACGUUCAAAAUGCUUCCUACUCUAACUAAAGUAGAAAUCCUACAUGCACUUUGCGACUAUCGACUUGAUGCUGCUGAUGUUGCUGUUCUCAAGGACUAUGAUGGAGAUAAUCUUCGUGUGGAGCCACUAGGUACAGACCGUACAGGUGCUACGUAUUGGUACUUCUAUGGCACUCGUCUUUACAAAGAGGAUAGACAACUAACUGAAGAAGAAAGAAAGGCCAAGCACAAACAAAAGCUAAAAGAAAAGCACAAGCGAAAAAAGGACCGUUUGAAAGCCAUUAAAAAUAUGAAAGAAGCGAGGAGAAAACAGAAACAGACAGUGAAGAAAGGAAAGAGCAAGGAAGGAGUAAGAGUCAAGAAAAAGAAAAGGAAAUCGUCUAAAAUAAGUGAUGAUGAAUGCAACAAUGAACAGCUCACUGUUCCAAAGCCAUCAAACAGCAACAAAUAUAUUCCUAAAGGACGAAAAAGGACAAACACAAAGGGUCAGAUGGAACCAGUAACCUCGAGUAAACUGCAGAAGGAUACGAAGAGCAAAAAACAAUUGGACACUAAUCAGAGUAGGAUGAAAUCUGGAGACAAACCCAAGAAAACAAGUGGAAGAAAACAAAACCUAAAAAAAGAAACACAUGAAAGGAAGCAAGAAAUAAUGUACAAAGAAAAUGAAAGAGGUAAAUUAAAGCGUGAGAGAUCAGGGCUGAAGAAACAGAAAGCAUCCAAAGCAGAGACUCAGCAAAAUGCCAAGAAUGCAAGCAACAGUCAACCCUACCUUAAAAAAGCACCCACCUCCACAAAAGGAGGGAAGAAAACCAAUGAAGGAAGCUCAUUACAAGUCAGUCCCUGUAAGUCAAGGAAGCGUAAAGUGAUCAAGUCAAAAGCAAUAAUCAGUGAAAGCGAUGAUGACAGUGAUGAUGAUCAGCCAUUACAAAAAUUGGCCAAGAAUCAAGUGUCUCACAUGGAUGUAACCUCAAAAGUAAAACAAAAGAAGUUGAACAAAAGUCACACAGCAUGUAAAUACCAGGCAAUACCCAAAACAAAAGAGAGAAAAGCAACUAACUCUAGAUCAAGAGUCAAAAGCAAAGGAGAUAAUACUCAGGAAGAAGCUGACAAAAAACCAAAGAAGCUUUCCAAAGCUACCAAGAAAGUAUCUGACAUUCCUAGUGGGAGCAGUGAGGAGGAUUUGUCAUCUUGUAUGAGUAUUCCACAGUCAAGUGACACAGAAACUGAUAGUGAAGAUGAUUUGGAACCACCACGCUGGCAUUUAGUGUGUCAUUCACAAGAGGACUGGCAAAGGCUGACAGAUUUCUUCAAGAAAAGCAAAGUGAAAUGUGAGAAGGAAUUGUACAAGACUCUUGCCAAUGACUUUCUGCCAGAAAUACACAGUCUGUUUGCAGCUAAGGAAAAGGCACUACGUAAGAAACUUCAAGAAUUAGCUCCGAGAAGAGCAUCUUCACGCGUUGUUAUCAUGCAGCUAAAACGGGAAGAGGAGGAACGGUUGAAAGCCAUUGAAGAGGCAGAGCUGUCUAGUAGAAGACAGCAGAUUGAAGAGGAGAAGAGAGAGAAGAUGAAACUACGUAACAAACUACAACAUCGAAAUCAAGAUGAGCAUUCUGGUGAUAAAUCAUUGAGAACAUCACAAAUCACCAGCCACCAAAAACGAACCAGCUCUAAGCAAGCAAAGAAAACCAAAAGCUUCAAUGGUAAUAUCUAUGCAAGAUUGCAGCAAGUGUAUGACGCAGUCAGCAAACAUGAAGAUUCCUGGCCUUUCAUGGACCCUGUAGAUGAAGCAUAUGCACCUGCAUAUUACCAAAUUAUCAUCAAACCAAUGUGUCUCAACAUCAUAGAGAAGAAGAUCAAGAAAAAGGACUAUAAGACAAAAGAGGAAUUUGAACAAGACAUGAACCAACUGUUCACCAAUUGCCUGGAGUACAAUGGCCCUGGUAAUGAAUACACCUUGAUGGCUGAGAAUCUAAAAUCUUGCUUGGAGUACAAUAUGGAAAAGAUAUUUCCAGAGGAGAAAGCUGACAAGAUUGAAAAAGAUAGCACCCAUCAUGUGGACCAAUAUGCUUAUCAGCGACCCCCACAGCGUCAGUCAGCAAAAAAUGCUAAUACAAGACUGGAAAAGCUAGAAGAUAAGGUGUAUGCUAGGCUAAGGGGUCUCAGCAGUAGUGAAUCAAGCAUUUUUGAAAGUCAGGAUAGUCCAUGUGGUGCCAGUGAUGAUGAUGAGGAUAUGGUUUUGGAGGAAAUCAAGUAUGAAAACACCGACAGUGAUUACGAAGAUCGAUCUGCUCAGCUUGAAAUUUUGAAAAGUGAUCCCGUAGAUAAAGACAAAUCAAAUGACUUGAAGGUCUUCCCCUGUACCAAAAAUGACCCUGUGACAAGUACUAGUAGUCAUAUCAAGCAAGAUAACACACUUAAUGCAUACUUGUCUGAAUCAUCUACCGUAGACUACUCACAGCAUGAAGAUCAAACAAAAGCGCAAACGUUGGAUGAAAUAUAUGAAACAUCUACCAGUACUUCCUCCAGAAAAGGUGACCAAAAUGAUGGCAAUGCUGUCACAUCAAGAGGUGUUAUUGCAUUUGCACCAUCUUCAGGAUUAAGAGAGCUGUCUCUGCAUACUUCCAAUAAGGAUGUACAAGGGCAAGACUAUAUGCAAUCCUGCAGUGAUAAAGAACAAGACUCAGAGCAAUGUAAAGAUAAUUAUCCAAAUGAAAUGAGUUGUAAAGAGCACUCAGGCCAAAUGUCAUUUACUCCUUUACAAGGCUCCCGUGCUUCAAAGGUGAACCGUGUAAAACCUAUUCAAAAUGUACGUCCGUAUGUACCUGACUGCCAUUCUGAAGACAGAGGAACAUGUAGUACAAGUCAAUCAGUACCAUGUGAUCAGCAUGAAGCAACACAGCAAGCAUCUCAGGGCCCACCGGCAAUGAUUGAUUUAAAUUCCAGACGUCCCAAUGUUCUGAAUCCUGAGACAUCCUCCUCAAGUGAAAAGGACUUUCAUGUACCUUGCCAAAAGGAAAAUACCUUUGGCUUAAGUCAAGAUUUACCUCAAGAAAAUUUGUAUGUACCCUCCAGCCUGAGUCAAGGUUUUCAGCAUUCCAAGAAAUCUACACACUCAGGGACCAAGAGUAAUCCUCAGUAUACACAACAUGCAUCCAAAGAUGAAGCUGAACUUCCCGCACCAUUAACUGUGCCACCAGUCCAGGAAAGUGUGGUUCAGCAUGUUCCAGCUGUUCAGCCUUUGUUGCCUUCAUCUAAUGCCUUGGAAGUACCACACUGGAAGGAGGAACACUCACUGAAUGCAAGAAGCAGUAGUUGUGAAUCAACACAGAAAUUAUGGCAUCCAUUGGGUUUGGAAGAUAAAACUGUAUCUGUCUAUAACAAGACUGAUAAAUCAACUUCCAGUGUUAACACAAUGGCAAACCAGAAUCAAGGUUAUCUAGGUCGUAUGAAAUUACCACAAACAGGUGUCAUACGAACACCACAAAACAAUUCACAAAGUAGCAAUAUACUUGAGUCUUUACUUCAUAGGCAACCUAAUUCUUCAGUUGGGAAUAUUUCUGAGGCCCAUAGGUCAAGACAACUUGUUCUUGACAACUUGCCAGCUCAAAGAGAAAUGGGAUCGAAAACAUACACAUGUGUGCCCCCUGUGUGUAGCUCAUCUUACCAAGGAAGUGUCCAACUGCAUAAUCAGAGAGCUGAAUCUGUUGCCACCAACUCCAAUCAGUCAGUAACAAAACAACCAGAGAAGACUGUUCAACCGAAACCAUCAUCUUCAGGUAUAUUGCAUUACCCACAGUCUUCUGUGAACCAGUCAAAUGUAGCUAGUCGGGUAGAACCUGGAAAGGGUAGCAUGACUCAAUUGCAGAUGAGUCACACAGAUACUGCAAGAGGCAUUGAUACAAUGCUCCCUGUCAGAAAAUCGGACAGUUUUCUUUCUAUGCUGACAAGUGAAUCCAGAAGCACGAAUGAAUACAAAGAUCAUUUUGAUAUGCAGAGAUAUGCAGGAUCUGGGAAUGUGUAUAAUCAAGCACUGUAUAGUGACCACCUACGGUUGCAUGCAAGCCAAGCUUCUGCAGUCACUCAUGGAUAUUCAGCAGGCUCACAUUUAAGUCAUCUGCUGCAAGGUAGACAAAAAUCAGAGGACCGGCCAAGUUCCGCUUUCACACCACUUGAUCCGUACUCUAGCCACUCAGCUUUUAGGAUGCAAAGACCAAAUCCUACCCUGUUUCCACAGUAUAUGGGUCAACAAGAAGCUGAACAGUUGGCCAGACAACAGUAUCAACAGCACUUGCAUCAAAGAGCUGGUGUGGGUACAAGGUUUACAGCAUAUCGGCCACAGGCUUCACACACACAUCCAGAUAUGGCCUACUAUUCACAGCAUGGUAUUGGCAGUCAGUUUCUAGGCAGUCAGGCCGUUGGUGGAGUUGGGGCACCCAUGCCCUAUGAUCCUGCCUUCCUGUCACACCCACCUCACAUGCAAGGUUACAAGUGAUGUAUUUUCGUUUGGCCGAGUGACAGCUUUAGUGUAUUUGUAAGUUUUCUUUUUUUAUUAAAACCCAAACUUUUUCUGAAGGAUUUAUCAUACAUGUACAUGUAUAUUCAAUUUUGAUGUGUUUAACCUCAAUACAUGUACAUGUACCUUGUCACAACUGUUGUGAUAUUGUGUCUUACUGUGAAUUUCUUAGGAAGUUUUAUUAUAUGUGUAAGCAGGAAGGAUUAUUUAGAUUAUUAAUAAGGCCACACAUAUACCUCGUGAAAUAUACACUGAACAAUGUGAUUGUCUUCAAAUGUAUAAGAUGAUGGGACAUACGUACAAGUAUGCCCUUAACAGUGAUAGAGAGAGAGGCUGGGCCAUCCCCUGUGCCCCAUUAGCAUCCUGAGGGCUGUGCAUAUUUGAAAAAUAUCUGGGUUUAUAGUCAUUCAAAUAAUAAGUCAUAGGGCAUACUUCAUGCCGUAUUCAUAUUAACCAGUGUGUACAUGUGUUACUCUGCCAUAGGGGACAGAAAUACAAAGGGAAAGGAUUUUGGUCGCUCCUUUUUUCGAUUCUGUCCUCUAAGAAAAUAUAGCUGUGCCUGAAGAGUUGUAGAAAUACCUACAUGUCGGAUAGGUGACAGGACAUCCACCCCUUGAAGUGCUCUUCACUCUGAAGUGUCAUAAAUUAACGGCAAAUGCGUGCACAUGUAGAGGACAUGAGGGUUUAUGGGUAUUCGGAGCAUCCUUCACAGACCUUCACAAUAUACCACUUGCAUCCUCUAUUAAAGCAACCGAGUUCCUUGGAUGUGAAAAUAAGACCAGUGAUAUUGAAAUGAUCUUACAAAUGCAAACAUUCUGGCAUAAAAUGCUAUACUUGAUGUGUGAUUUGAAUUACACACCAGUAAAUGUAUGGUAAUUUGAUACAAAGUUAUGCACUUUUGUGUUGUCAGUAAGCGGAUAGGUUUUUGGGUUUUUGUUUUUUGCUGUUUUCCAUCUCUGAAUUUCAUGCUUGUAUUUCAUUUUCGUCAUGUUGUAGGUUUUCAGUCAUUUUUGUGAUCUUUCACAGAGGCAGAAUGUUUAUUGGUUUUAGCAUUAUCUCAGACUUUAUGGAAAAGAAUCUUACUGAAAUUCGGGGGACGGUAACCUUUAUGGUUUUACACAAUUGUACACAAAUAAAUUUAACAAGUCCUCGUCCAAGCUGACUUCUCUCUGGAUGACUGUACUUCCCUCUCUCAGUGCUGUGUGUCUUGAACAUUUCUUAAACUGCAAAAUCCUGAUAAAAAUAUCAGGGGCAAACAGCAUAUAUAAACUAUCUUUUAGAAAGCCCUACAAAUUUAUUUGAUUUUAUAAGCAGAUUCAUCUACAGGCAUUGAAGGGAAAACACAGCAGUUUUUAGAGGAGCAGAAAAAGUGAAGAUUUCAUUUGUCAUUCUGAGGGUUGUGUUGGGUGGGCUUUUACAUUCUUUUUCCAUUUCAUUAGAUUUGAAAGGCAAAUUGAAAACAAAGAAACCCGGGGGGUAGUCCCAUUAACCCUCCCCAUUUGUCAGUGGAGGCAUUUCAGUUGGACUGUAUUUUGCUAUCUUGAUCACCAAAGUUGGAGGAAGUUAGAUCAGACUGAAGAAUUUUGUGUCACGUUUGUUCAUUGAUAGUGUGUCACGUACUUAACAAACAUGUUCAAAUUGAACAUCAAAUUUCAAAGAAAAACCUGGCAACCCUUUUUCUUGUUUGCUGUUUAUGUUAUAGUAUUAUUGGCCCAUGAGAGACAUAUCACAUUAUUAUAUUGUUUGUUUAACCAAAGUCUCUCAAAACACCUGAUAGAGCAAUAUUAGCACUGGAAAAAAGGUUAACAUUGUUUAUAGCUGUAGUUUUUAAACUUUUUAGUCAUACAGGUGUUUCCUUACCUCCAAUCCCUUCCUUUUUUAAAUCUUGUUUUUAACUUCAUGAAUUUUUAGAUUUCUUCUUGAUACAUGUACGUAGUUAGCAAUGUUGUGUUGAUUAGGCAUAUGAAGAAUUUCAUGGAAUCAAUGUCCUUUUGUAAUUAUUCUGGUUAAAACAGCAAGUGUGACUAGUUUGUUUGGGUAACAUCAUGUCUUUAGUUGUGCUUAUAGCAACAAAUAAAUGUCUUUCCAUUUUUUCCCAGUUGAUAAAGGUUUGAGAGUUGAUUGAUGAAGUAAAAGCCUUUCUUAGAUUGAUUCUUUU